UACGUAGGGGCCUAGCGUUGUCCGGAUUUAUUGGGCGUAAAGAGCUCGUAGGCGGUUUGGUAAGUGGAUGGUGAAAUCCCUCGGCUUAACCGAGGAACUGCCGUCCAAACUGCUUCGCUUGAGACCGGGAGAGGUGAGUGGAAUUCCCAGUGUAGCGGUGAAAUGCGUAGAUAUUGGGAGGAACACCAGUGGCGAAGGCGGCUCACUGGACCGGUACUGACGCUGAUGCGCGAAAGCGUGGGGAGCAAACGGG
rnacentral:rRNA from 1 species